rnacentral:piRNA from 1 species
UGCAGCCCUGAUUAGGAGCUCAGGUGAA